UUCUUCUUCUUUCAUCUGCCUCCUCCUUCCCUGUUCAUCUUCUACUGAAAUUUGAGAGAGCAACUCGCUAUUUCUGCGUUCGAUAAAAGGUGGGAAAUAUUAAAGACUAAUUGUUAGUGGUGGUUUCAUUUAAGUAGUCACUUUAUAUUUACCAGAAAAUUAAAUCAGGCGGAGUCGGAUUAGGUCUUAGAUUUUAUUUGGAGUUUGUAUCCAAUCGGCAAGCAAAUCGAGUUGUUGGCAGAUGAAUAAUGAUUGGGCUAGUGUUUAAUUUGAUGAUGGAUAAUUAUUUAAUGAAGAGUUGAAGAACUAGGUUUUCUUCUGAUUAACUCAGAUAAGAUGUGGAAGAUCAAAUUGAGAGUCUAGGAGAUUGAAUUGAGAUGGGUUUCACUCAAAUUAGGAUAUAGGGUUUCGAUUUUAAAGUUAAGACUGAUAAUUAGAAUUUGUGAUGAAGCUAGGGUUUAUUCUGUUAAUAAUAGGAUUAAGGAGAUAUGAUCGAUGUUGAGUUAGUUGUGCUAUAGGAAACGCAUGGAGUCAAGAGCAGCUGCUUCAAUACAUAAGUUCGAUUUAAGGGGUUCUCUGUGAACUGGUGGUGAUGUUGAAGUUGCAUGGGGUAUACAUUCCUGGUAGAGGUUUAAAAACUUCAAAUGUGGUGUUGGAAUUGAUGAUAUGAAUCUGAAGAACAAGGGAAUCCAUGGAAAUGAUGGUUGAGGUUACUUGAGAUGAUAACGAUGUUGUUAUUGUAUAUAUGAGUGGCUGCAAUUUGUGAUGUUGCUGAGUUUAAGUCAUAGUGGAUGUGACUGAGAUGAAUUGAAUAGAAUGAGGACGGUGGUAUGCAGUGACAAUGGUAUUGUAGGGAGUUGAAUAAGCUCAUGAGUGAUGAAAGGUGGAUAAAAUGGAGUUUGAAUGAAUGUAACUGUGUUUAAUGAUUGAAGUGAUAAUGAGGUUGUUGCUGGACUCAAGUUGAUCGUGCAGACGAAGAGUGUGGCAGAGAUGUCUGUAGUGUAAGUGGAACUGAAGUUGCAGUGUGUGGCUAACGGGAUAAUGCCAAUGAGAUAAUGAAUGAAGCUGCGGUUGGUGUUUGUAAAGUGAAGAAGUUAGAAUUGGAUUUUAACAGAAGUUAUAGAGGGUUUUGUUAUGAUUGGUUGGUAGAGAUGGAAUGUAUACAAGAUUAUAGUUUAGGUUUAUUUGAUGGGAUUGCAAUUGCAGAUGAAAUUGGAAUUAAUCUGGUUAUCAAGAUAGAGCUGAAAUGGUGUUGUUUGUCUGAGCCGUUGAGUUAUGAGUUGCAGUUAUAAUGAUAUUGUUUGUGUAUGAGAGUUUUAGAUAGAGUGACAGUAUAACUGUGCUGGUUUGUUUCAGUUGAGAAGAUAGUUACUGCAGCUACUGCAGUUGCAGGUAAUUAGAGUUUAUAUUGUAAUUGGAAUUUGAAGUUUAUUUGAAUGAUUGAAUUUAUGUAAUGGAUAGCUUAAAAGUAAAUUAGAGUUGGAAUCA